rnacentral:rRNA from 1 species
UACGAAGGGGGCUAGCGUUGUUCGGAAUUACUGGGCGUAAAGCGCACGUAGGCGGAUAUUUAAGUCAGGGGUGAAAUCCCGGGGCUCAACCUCGGAACUGCCUUUGAUACUGGGUAUCUCGAGUCCGAGAGAGGUGAGUGGAAUUCCGAGUGUAGAGGUGAAAUUCGUAGAUAUUCGGAGGAACACCAGUGGCGAAGGCGGCUCACUGGCUCGGUACUGACGCUGAGGUGCGAAAGCGUGGGGAGCAAACAGG